rfam:Myotis davidii contig131787, whole genome shotgun sequence.
UGGACCAAUGAUAAUGACUGUGGCGGAGGAGUUAUGGACAUUGAAUAAUCUGGAACUGUGAGGUGCAA